rnacentral:tRNA from 1 species
GCCUUCGUGGUGUAGUGAUCACCACACUCGACGGGUAUUCGAGAGGUCCGAGGUUCGAGUCCCGGCGAGAGCA